AAAGAGCCAACGGUGGAUGCCUUGGCGCCUGAUGCCGAUGAAGGACGUGGGUGGCUGCGAAAAGCCACGGGGAGCUGCCGACCAAGCUUCGAUCCGUGGAUGUCCGAAUGGGGAAACCCCGCACCCGUGAUGGGGUGUGACUCCCGCCUGAACACAUAGGGCGGGUAGAGGGAACCGGGGGAAUUGAAACAUCUCAGUACCCCGAGGAAAAGAAAACAACAGUGACUCCCUGAGUAGCGGCGAGCGAAACGGGAAGAGCCUAAACCGAGCUGGUGGUAAAGCCUGAUGGCGUUGCCAGUUCGGGGUUGUGGGAGCUCAUGGUCAGGGCAUCAGACCUGACACAGAGUUACAAAGUGUCUGCAUAGUGGAAGCGUUCUGGAACGUCGCACCACAGCGGGUAAGAGUCCCGUACACGAAAUGUACGACACCUCUGAUGAGAUUUCCCGAGUAGCGCCGGAACCGUGAAAGUCGGCGUGAAUCUGCGAGGACCAUCUCGUAAGGCUAAGUACACACAGGCGACCGAUAGUGCACGAGUACCGUGAGGGAAAGGUGAAAAGUACCCCGGGAGGGGAGUGAAAUAGUACCUGAAACCGUUGGCUUACAAACAGUCAGAGCGUCGUGUUCCAAUUUCGAUUGGAAUGCCGUGAUGGCGUGCCUUUUGAAGAAUGAGCCAGCGAGUUACGGUGUGUGGCGAGGUUAACCCGUGAGGGGGAGCCGGAGCGAAAGCGAGUCUGAACAGGGCGUUCAGUCGCACGCUGUAGACCCGAAGCCGAGUGAUCUUGCCUUGGGCAGGCUGAAGCAGGGGUAAGACCUUGUGGAGGGCCGAACCCACCAUGGUUGAAAACAUGGGGGAUGACCUGAGGCAAGGGGUGAAAGGCCAAGCAAACUCGGUGAUAGCUGGUUCUCCCCGAAAUGCAUUUAGGUGCAGCGUCGGGUGUUCAGCAUCGGAGGUAGAGCACUGAAUGGGUUAGGGGGCCCACAAGCUUACCAACCCCAAUCAAACUCCGAAUGCCGAUGCUCUAGAACCCGGCAGUGAGACCAUGGGGGAUGAGCUUCAUGGUCGAAAGGGAAACAGCCCAGACCGCCGACUAAGGCCCCAAAUUCUGUACUAAGUGGGAAACGAUGUGGGAUUGCAUAGACAGCCAGGAGGUUGGCUUAGAAGCAGCCAUCCUUGAAAGAGUGCGUAAUAGCUCACUGGUCGAGUGAUCCUGCGCGGACAAUGUAACGGGGCUCAAGUACAGAGCCGAAGUCGCGGAUGCACACUUCAGUGUGUGCGUGGUAGGGGAGCGUCGAUCUCGCAGUGAAGCGGGGGUGGAAACCGUCGUGGAGCGUGGUCGAGUGCGAAUGCUGGCAUGAGUAGCGAGAGAGGGGUGAGAAACCCCUCCGCCGAAAGUCCAAGGGUUCCUGGGGAAGGCUAAUCCGCCCAGGGUAAGUCGGGAGCUAAGGCGAGGCCGAGAGGCGUAGUCGAUGCACAACCGGUUGAUAUUCCGGUACCGCUGUAUGCGCGUUCAUCCCAACUCUUGAUUGCUAAGGGGCUGCCUUCGGGCGAACCGACCCAUCUUGAUGCGGGCAGCAAAGAGGGGACGCAGGAGGAUACGUGAUCCCAGGCGUUGGUUGUCCUGGGGUAAGCGUGUAGGGCGAGGUCUAGGCAAAUCCGGACCUCAUCAGCCUGAGACGUGAUGCCGAGACGUUGAAGUCGAAGUCACCGAUUCCAUGCUGCCAAGAAAAGCCUCUAGCGAGUUCAUACAGCGCCCGUACCCCAAACCGACACAGGUGGACUGGUAGAGAAUACCAAGGCGAUCGGGAGAACCGUGGUUAAGGAACUCGGCAAAAUACCUCCGUAACUUCGGGAGAAGGAGGGCCUCAUCAGGGUGAAGCACUUCGCGUGCUGAGCUCGAAGGGGCCGCAGAGACCAGGGGAAAGCGACUGUUUACUAAAAACACAGGAGCGUGCUAAGCCGAAAGGCGACGUAUACGCUCUGACGCCUGCCCGGUGCUGGAAGGUUACGGGGAACGGUUAGGCCGCAAGGCCGAAGCUGUGAACCUAAGCCCCAGUAAACGGCGGCCGUAACUAUAACGGUCCUAAGGUAGCGAAAUUCCUUGUCGGGUAAGUUCCGACCUGCACGAAUGGCGUAACGACUUUCCUACUGUCUCAACCACGGACCCGGCGAAAUUGAAGUACGAGUAAAGAUGCUCGUUAGCUGCAUCAGGACGGAAAGACCCCGUGGACCUUUACUACAGCUUGGUAUUGGGUUUUGGUACGGAUUGUGUAGGAUAGGUGGGAGCCUAGGAAGCUCCGGCGCUAGCCGGGGUGGAGGCAACGUUGAAAUACCACCCUGUUCGUGCUGGGACUCUAACUCUGGUCCGUGAUCCGGAUCGGGGACAGUGCCAGGUGGGUAGUUUGACUGGGGCGGUCGCCUCCUAAAAGGUAACGGAGGCGCCCAAAGGUUCCCUCAGGCUGGUUGGCAAUCAGCCGUCGAGUGCAAUGACACAAGGGAGCUUGACUGCGAGACUGACAAGUCAAGCAGGGACGAAAGUCGGGCAUAGUGAUCCAGCGGUUGCGUAUGGAAGCGCCGUUGCUCAACGGAUAAAAGGUACCCCGGGGAUAACAGGCUCAUCUUGCCCAAGCGUCCACAGCGACGGCAAGGUUUGGCACCUCGAUGUCGGCUCGUCGCAUCCUGGGGCUGAAGCAGGUCCCAAGGGUUGGGCUGUUCGCCCAUUAAAGCGGUACGCGAGCUGGGUUUAGAACGUCGUGAGACAGUUCGGUCCCUAUCCGAUGUAGCCGCAGGUGAUUUGAGGAAGGCUGUCCCUAGUACGAGAGGACCGGGACGGACGCAGCUCUCGUGUGGCAGUUGUCCCGCCAGGGGCACCGCUGCUUAGCGACCUGCGGAAGGGAUAAGCGCUGAAAGCAUCUAAGCGCGAAGCCUUUUCCUAGAUGAGAUCACCCACUGGGUAACCAGGUAAGGCCCGUGGCCAGACGACCACGUUGAUAGGCCGGAAGUGUACGCACAGCAAUGUGUUCAGCUGACCGGUACUAAUCGGCCGAGGGCUUGGAGA
rnacentral:rRNA from 1 species